AACAAAAGAAAGACAAAAGA
rnacentral:sRNA from 1 species